AUUGAACGCUGGCGGCAUGCUUUACACAUGCAAGUCGAACGGUAACAGGCCGCAAGGUGCUGACGAGUGGCGCACGGGUGAGUAAUGCAUCGGAACGUGCCCAGUCGUGGGGGAUAACUACUCGAAAGAGUAGCUAAUACCGCAUACGAUCUAUGGAUGAAAGCGGGGGACCGCAAGGCCUCGCGCGAUUGGAGCGGCCGAUGUCAGAUUAGGUAGUUGGUGGGGUAAAGGCUCACCAAGCCAACGAUCUGUAGCUGGUCUGAGAGGACGACCAGCCACACUGGAACUGAGACACGGCCCAGACUCCUACGGGAGGCAGCAGUGGGGAAUUUUGGACAAUGGGCGCAAGCCUGAUCCAGCAAUGCCGCGUGCAGGAAGAAGGCCUUCGGGUUGUAAACUGCUUUUGUACGGAACGAAACGGCUCUGGUUAAUACCCGGGGCUAAUGACGGUACCGUAAGAAUAAGCACCGGCUAACUACGUG
rnacentral:rRNA from 1 species